GAUGAACGCUAGCGGGAGGCUUAACACAUGCAGGUCGAGGGGCAGCAUAGGGUAGCAAUACUCUGAUGGCGACCGGCAAACGGGUGAGUAACGCGUAUGCAACCUACCCUGUACAGGGGGAUAACCCGGAGAAAUUCGGACUAAUAUCCCGUAAUAAUAUCCGGAGGCAUCUUUGGAUAUUUAAAGUUUCGACGGUACGGGAUGGGCAUGCGUAACAUUAGCUGGUUGGUAAGGUAACGGCUUACCAAGGCUAUGAUGUUUAGGGGUCCUGAGAGGGUGGUCCCCCACACUGGUACUGAGACACGGACCAGACUCCUACGGGAGGCAGCAGUGAGGAAUAUUGGUCAAUGGGCGCAAGCCUGAACCAGCCAUCCCGCGUGCAGGAAGACGGCCCUAUGGGUUGUAAACUGCUUUUCCAGGGAGAGAAACUUACGCACGUGUUGCGUGACUGACGGUACCCUGGGAAUAAGCAUCGGCUAACUCCGUG
rnacentral:rRNA from 1 species